rnacentral:rRNA from 1 species
UACGUAGGGUGCAAGCGUUAAUCGGAAUUACUGGCGUAAAGCGUGCGCAGGCGGCUUUGCAAGACAGAUGUGAAAUCCCCGGGCUUAACCUGGGAACUGCAUUUGUGACUGCAUGGCUGGAGUGCGGCAGAGGGGGAUGGAAUUCCGCGUGUAGCAGUGAAUGCGUAGAUAUGCGGAGGAACACCGAUGGCGAAGGCAAUCCCCUGGACCUGUACUGACGCUCAUGCACGAA